AUUGAACGCUGGCGGCAUGCCUUACACAUGCAAGUCGAGCGGCAGCGCGGGGGCAACCCUGGCGGCGAGCGGCGAACGGGUGAGUAAUACAUCGGAACGUGUCCAGUAGCGGGGGAUAACCUGUCGAAAGAUAGGCUAAUACCGCAUACGACCUACGGGUGAAAGCGGGGGACCGCAAGGCCUCGCACUAUUGGAGCGGCCGAUGUCGGAUUAGCUAGUUGGCGGGGUAAGAGCCCACCAAGGCGACGAUCCGUAGCUGGUCUGAGAGGACGAUCAGCCACACUGGAACUGAGACACGGUCCAGACUCCUACGGGAGGCAGCAGUGGGGAAUUUUGGACAAUGGGCGCAAGCCUGAUCCAGCCAUGCCGCGUGAGUGAAGAAGGCCU
rnacentral:rRNA from 1 species